GUUUAAUCUUAAGCCAUUUUUCUUCCCUAAUUACCUCUCCCUCUGUAUCUUUCUACUCCUAUGUAGGUGUAGUACUUAGCUGUCUCUGCUGUCUACCCUUUCAGCGUAUUUAGGUCUCCGUUUUUAACAAAAGAGUAAAUCUCAGGGCUAAGAGUUUUGAUUGUUCCUUUUUAUAAUAUUCAGUUCUGUGUAUUCCACAAUGAUUGGAAAUAUGAGUGGCUUGGUUUUUUGUUUUUUAAAGCUAAAUCUAACUCUUUGUGCUAAAUUUAAUCAUUGACUUUCUGUAGCUAUUUAAUAAUCUCCUUGACAGAUUUUUAGGAGUUUGGGAUUGUCUUUGUCAAAUUCUCUUAACAAGUUUUGAUCAAUUAUUUAUAUAUGAGAAUUUCUUGUUUUCCUAACCUUGUUGCUAAGAGAUAUGCUUUAAAGCAAAAUAGACUUGUUGUCAAAGGCUAUGACCAAUUUUCACCCCUUGGGAUAUAUAUCCAGUGUUUGCAAAUGCAUUUACUUAUUUUUGCGUGGAAAUGCAGACUUCGAGUUGGCAGUUUUCCUGCCUUCUAUUUAUACCCUUCCUCUUGCUCUCAGCCAGAAUUUACUGGGUCAGUUGAGUGGUGCUAAAAGAUUCUUAUAACGUGAAUUCUACUGUUUGGGAAAAGAUGUUAGGGUAAGAGGCUAGUCUAGCAAAUACGUGAAACAGAGCAAGUACUUUUAACAUUGCAAUUUUAGUCAGUUUUUUCUUUUCAUCCAUUCCAUGAAUAGUAUUUGAAUAUUGUGUUUUAGGCACUGAGUAGGUACUAGGGAUAUAGAAAUUAAAAUGUAGUCCCUCCUUUCAUUUAACUUGGAGGCUGGAAGGCCAGUAUAUUUGUGCAAACAAAUUUUAGCUUGUGGAGAGUUCAUGCUGUAAUGGAUUUGCCAGCAUAAGUGUCACAUGCAAGCAGUUUAGUAUGGCUGGAGAAGAUGAUGUUUAUAGGCAAGGGAUGGAAGAUAAUGCUAGCAGAUGACUUUGUGAAGCCAAGGAAUUUGAAUUUUAUUCUCAAAGAUUAGGACUGCCUAGUAUAAUUCUGGCAUGUCGUAGUUGUUUGGUAAAUAUUAAACUGAAGUACCAUAUUCUUUACUUGGACACUUAGUGAACAACUCCAGACUGAGAAUUAAUUUUUUAACUUAAAAUUUUAGUCCAUAUUAAAUCUAUGCUAGAGUUAUAUGUAAUUUUUAAAAAACUGGCAUGACACAAAUUUGUAUCCAAGAAUAUUUUAAAAUUAAAUUCACUUUCUCCAUGCUUGGGUGAUAGAGUUAUUUUUAAUAAUUAUUUGCAAAGUGAAUUUAUUUUUUUUAACUACAGAGUAGUGCAACUCAUCUGCACUGUGAUAAAGAUCCUGGAAACUGGAAUCAGGCAGAGUUGGGAUUCUUUGCAGCGUACGGUGACCAUGGGCAAGUUAUUUAGCUUCCCUAAACCUCAUCUGUAAAAUGAGGUGGAUAGCUGCUGCCACCGGAGCCUGAAGUGGUUCUUGUGAGUAUAAAAUUAGAGAAGAUCCUUGUAAAUUAGAGUGUGCAUUGAGCACCUACUCAAAAGACUAUCAAGAUUUCAGUAUGUUUUGUUUGGAGGAGCCCCUCCUCACUAGAUGUACACAAAAUCCCAUAGGAUUCAGCUAGUACCAGGAAACUAUGGAAGUGGCCUGGUCCCCAUUCUCUGGUGGAAGCAAUUCCUCCAUUCUGGUGCUUCUGCCUGGCUAGUGCCUCCUGUGUCUUUUGGGUACAGAUGCUCCAGCCAGCUCAGAGAUGCUCCCCACAGAGGUCUCCCCCGCCCCACCCCGAGGCCGACCGCAGGUUUAGCCUCAAGACUCUCACCUCUGCUUCAGGGCCUCAGAUAUCAGUGCCCAUCUGCUUCCAUAAAUGCCCCCACCACUGUGCUCCAUUGCACAUCUGCAGUCUGUCUGGAGGAUGAGCCUCUCUCCCAACAACUCCCACCUCUUCAUUUUCCAGUCAUUGCUCUCAAUCCAUCAGAUUUCCAAACCAAAGCCUGACUGAGGAGUUGUCUUGUAGGCCUUGUCAGCUUCUCUUUUCAGCCCAGAAACUCCAAAAGCAAUGAUACCCAUGGACAGGAGAGACUCAAGCUCAGAAUAGGAUUGUGUGACUGUCUUCUUGGAAUAGUGGAAGGGAAAACAUCACUCCUCCUUUUGAGUCUCUUUCAGCAGCAGAUAUCCCAAAUAAUCAUGCCAAUUAGGAAGAGAGCUUAGAUGGGCGCCUGGCAUAUAGUCAUCUCACAAUAACUGUUAACUAUUAGCAUUAUUAUUUUUAUUAGCAUCCCUUUUGGAUAAUAGGCAAAGACUCAGAGUAAUCUCAGUAACUUAAAUUAUCCAACUAGAAAAGUAACUAGAGAAACUGAAGCUGUGUAAAGAAAGAAAGCUAAAUUGUUAAAGGGAUGAAAAAAAUCAGGCUUUGGGAGAAAGCACUUGGAUUACUCAACACGGAAAAAAAUUACUCAAAUUAACAAAAAUUACUCAAGAUAACAAAAUUACUAAAAUGAAAAAAAUCGAAGGCUCACAUUUGUCUUUGAGCAUGUGACAGCUUAUGGUGCAGUCCCUAAUCAGCUGUUCUUCAUCAACCCCAGAAUUUAAAGCAACAGGUAGUAACUUGAAUUGUGAGAUUUUGGCAAGUCACACACACACACAAAAGGUAUCAAACAAAAAGCAUCAAAUACUUACUCAACCCAGAAUGUUAGUAGAAGCUGUGAAUGCCCCGACUCUAGAUGUGCUUCAGGCAGUUGCAGGGGCCACCUGCUUGGAAACAAGGACUGGCGUAGUUGAUGCAUCAGGUCCUCAACAUUAUGAUGAUUCUACCCAUCAGUGUAGAAUGAUACUGUGUAGACUACAUUGUCGCUUCAUGGCUGACCCCAAAAAUCAUGUUUUCUCAUCUGUGAUGGAGCAUUUCCAUCUCAGUUGAAUAGUCAGGAGAUUUGGCAUGAAGGAAGGUCCUGUUCUGCGUAUCAGGAACCUAGCUAGGUUCAUAUCUUUGCUUUUAGGCUGAUUUCCUAGGGGAUCUGUAGUAGCCAUUUACUCUAUCUGAAUAAAGAUGGGACAGAAUUAGAAUAAUUUGAUCUGUUCCCAUUGAGCUUUACCAUUCUGAGACUUUUUUCUUUUACAUUUUCUUUUCCUACUGCUAAUGAGCAAUAGAAUUAAAAAUCUUUUUAUUCUCAGAGAGUAGACUGUGAUUGUAAUUUCCUAAUAGAAAUACUCAAUUUACAAGCAUCUAGUUUUUAACAGGCAAUUCAGAAAGAUUAUCUUGUGGAGAAAUUUAGGUGCUUCGCUAUUCUAACAAAAGUCUCUUUUAAACAGUUCUAAUUUAAGGGAAGCUAUUUUUCAUGGGACUGGUAAUUUAGAACACUUUGGUUUGUUAUUGUGGCCCAUCUCUUUAGCAAAUUAGGCUUUUUCACUUCUCCCAAAUGAGCUUUCAUUUGUUUGGAGUUGGUAGGAUUAAGCUGUCGCACUUUUAAACAAAGCCUUGAUGUCAAGACAAGACACUCUUCAGGUUUUACUAAUUUUUUGAAAUCAGUCUGUUUUGAUUCAGCCAUUUUGCUGUCUGCCCAUGGAGUUAACCAGAUUGUAUCUCAAUAGUAGGCCCUUAUUUUAAAACUCUAGGAAGGUAAGUUUCUUUUUCCAUUGAUCUUCCACCCAUACCUAAAAUGCAGUUCAGAAUGGCAACUCCUUUCUUACUUUCUGUGGGAUUACCUCAUUCUAAAUAGGUGAAUCUCAGGAUUGAGAGACAGGAUCUUGACUCGUUUCCAUGUUCUAAUCCCUGCGAGGCAUUGGCCUCUGAAUGCCAUCUUGCCAGAGAGCAAGAAAACCUCUGCACUUGGCUCUUUGUGCAUUGUUUAGUCUGACCUUCUGUUUACAACUUACUUUUACCUUCCUCUUUAAGCACCUUACUAAAAUGUUAGAUAGGCACAUAAUGUAAGUCACCUUAAACCGGCCUCCAUAAUGGAACAUCACUUCUGUAUAGCUAGGUUGUAAGCUGCUCUUCAAAACAAAGUCUGUCUUGACCAUUUUCAUAGGUUCCAAAGCAGGUAGUGUAGGUCUUUGAACAUACUUACUCACCGAAGGGAGGAUGAAGAGUGAGCAGCAGAGCGAAACCAAAAAGUUUAUUAAGAGUGUGAUAUCUUCACGAUGGGCUCAACCCUAACUGCAUGUUACAGUAACCUGGACACUUAAAAGAAAACCUGACAUCUUUGUCCCACUCCUGAGAGCCUGAGAAGAGAAUUUUUUUUGACGACUGCCCCCCAACACUAGUUACUCUUGGGUAGUCAGAAUUGUUGUCAUUAAAAAAUUGGUCAACAUUAUCAAAAACAUUUAGACAGUGAUGAAGAAAGACACUGUCACUGGGUACAUGAUUGCAGAGGCUAUAACAAAUAUGUCUUCUAUGUUAAUAACUUAAAAUUUUGUAUCCUAAAUAAUGUACCACUUUUUUCUAUCUUAAUUUAUUAGUUUUUUGGCACUUCUCUCACCCAAGAUCUUGUUGAUCCCUGUUAGAUGCUGGCAGCACGACUCCCUGGCCUCAUUCCAGACAUUGGUCACCAAGUCCGCUAUUACAUUGGAUGAUUAAAGGUAUGUGGAUAUCAAGGAGAGAGCAGGCAGGGAAUUACAUUUGAUGGGCUCCAUUAGUCUUCUGUGGUUCAGGUAAGGUCAGCACAGGAUAUUGUUCAAACUCUAAAUUCUGGUACUUUGUUCCUGGGCAUAGAUGCUCUAACAUUCAGAGGUUUUUGCUGCCUUUUGAAAGGUGUCAAACUCAUAAUCUCACACAGAGUACACCAGAAUGAGGGACACUGACCAGCUCUAACCCAUCUCUAGGCACUAGGUCAUCUUGUCUCAAAAGACCUGUAUAAAAGUAGGCUAUUUCAUGCAAGGAAACUGCAGUUAGGAAAAUUACAUAUGUGCUUUAGACCACUCACAGGUAAAGGGUGGUGCCUGGUCAGGAGCUCUGGUUUUGCUCUUAACCCUUACACAGCCCUGCUUCCUUCAGAAAAAGUGUGGGGUGGAGUUCCCGUCGUGGCUCUGUGGUUAAUGAGCCCGACUAGUAUCCAUGAGGCUGUGGGUUCCAUUCCUGGCCUCGAUCAGUGGGUUAAGGAUCUGGCGUUGCCAUGAGCUGUGGUGUAGGUCGCAGAAGCAAUUCGGAUCCCAUGUUGCUGUGGCCCUGACGUAGGCCAGCGGCUACAGCUCCAAUUAGACCCCUAGCCUGGGAACCUCCGUAUGCCAUGGGUGCAGCCCUAAAAAGACAAAAAGAAAAAAAGAAAAAAAA
rnacentral:lncRNA from 1 species